rnacentral:rRNA from 1 species
GAUGAACGCUGGCGGCGUGCCUAAUACAUGCAAGUCGAACGCAUAGCGAAAGGUGCUUGCACCUUUCAAGUGAGUGGCGAACGGGUGAGUAACACGUGGACAACCUGCCUCAAGGCUGGGGAUAACAUUUGGAAACAGAUGCUAAUACCGAAUAAAACUUAGUGUCGCAUGACACAAAGUUAAAAGGCGCUUCGGCGUCACCUAGAGAUGGAUCCGCGGUGCAUUAGUUAGUUGGUGGGGUAAAGGCCUACCAAGACAAUGAUGCAUAGCCGAGUUGAGAGACUGAUCGGCCACAUUGGGACUGAGACACGGCCCAAACUCCUACGGGAGGCUGCAGUAGGGAAUCUUCCACAAUGGGCGAAAGCCUGAUGGAGCAACGCCGCGUGUGUGAUGAAGGCUUUCGGGUCGUAAAGCACUGUUGUAUGGGAAGAACAGCUAGAAUAGGAAAUGAUUUUAGUUGGACGGGACCAUACCAGAAAGGGACGGCUAAAUACGU